GAAAUGCGAUAAGUAGUGUGAAUUGCAGAAUUCAGUGAAUCAUCGAAUCUUUGAACGCACAUUGCGCCCUUUGGUAUUCCAAAGGGCAUGCCUGUUCGAGCGUCAUUUGUACCCUCAAGCUUUGCUUGGUGUUGGGCGUUUUUUGUCUUUGGUUGCCAAAGACUCGCCUUAAAAGGAUUGGCAGCCGGCCUACUGGUUUCGCAGCGCAGCACAUUUUUGCGCUUGCAAUCAGCAAAAGAGGACGGCAAUCCAUCAAGACUCCUUCUCACGUUUGACCUCGGAUCAGGUAGGGAUACCCGCUGAACUUAAGC
rnacentral:misc_RNA from 1 species